UAAAAGGCCGAUUAUUUGGUAGAGCCGCCUUCUUAAACAAAGUGUUUGUUUUUAAGAAGGCGGCUCUACCAAAUAGUCGCCCUCUUAAAU
rnacentral:pre_miRNA from 1 species